AGAGUUUGAUCCUGGCUCAGGAUGAACGCUAGCUACAGGCUUAACACAUGCAAGUCGAGGGGAAACGACAUCGAAAGCUUGCUUUUGAUGGGCGUCGACCGGCGCACGGGUGAGUAACGCGUAUCCAACCUGCCCAUCACUUGGGGAUAACCUUGCGAAAGUAAGACUAAUACCCAAUGACGUCUCUAGAAGACAUCUGAAAGAGAUUAAAAGAUUUAUCGGUGAUGGAUGGGGAUGCGUCUGAUUAGCUUGUUGGCGGGGUAACGGCCACCGAAGGCGACGAUCAGUAGGGGUUCUGAGAGGAAGGUCCCCCANAUUGGAACUGAGACACGGUCCAAACGUCCUACGGGAGGCA
rnacentral:rRNA from 1 species